AGUAAUUUUGAAGUUUGACCUUUCUUUUAUUUUUAAUUCAAGUUUAUUUUGAUAUUAAAAAUGCCAAAAAUAUUUUGCUUAUUAUUUGACCUCCAAUCUUCAUCCCAUUUCUGGUUUCUCAUGGUUUGACUUUGACUUCAAAUGUCAUUUGGUCAACACACAUGGAUUGGUACAUUUUAUUUCACCUUAUGCACUUUAUUCUUUCCAUUUCCUUUUCCAUUAUUCAUCUCUUUCUUCUUCUUCUUCUUUUUCUUUUUGAUCAAUGAGUUGAAGGUUGAUAAGUUAGCAUUGAUUAGGGAGACUUAAUCUUCCUUGAUUCAAAUCUAAUUCAUCUUGAUCAAUUGAUCAAGUGAAUGGCUUUGCAUUAAGGAUAUGUUGUUUC
rnacentral:lncRNA from 1 species